GGCUGCAACUCGCCUACAUGAAGUCGGAAUUGCUAGUAAUCGCGGAUCAGCAUGCCGCGGUGAAUACGUUCCCGGGCCUUGUACACACCGCCCGUCACACCAUGGGAGUCGGGAAUGCCCGAAGUCAGUGACCCAACCUUUGGAGGGAGCUGCCGAAGGCAGGUCUGAUAACUGGGGUGAAGUCGUAACAAGGUAAC
rnacentral:rRNA from 1 species